rnacentral:rRNA from 1 species
AUUGAACGCUGGCGGCAUGCUUUACACAUGCAAGUCGAACGGUAACAGGCCGCAAGGUGCUGACGAGUGGCGAGCGGGUGAGUAAUGCAUCGGAACGUGCCCAGUCGUGGGGGAUAACGCAGCGAAAGCUGCGCUAAUACCGCAUACGAUCUAUGGAUGAAAGCGGGGGACCGUAAGGCCUCGCGCGAUUGGAGCGGCCGAUGUCAGAUUAGGUAGUUGGUGGGGUAAAGGCUCACCAAGCCAACGAUCUGUAGCUGGUCUGAGAGGACGACCAGCCACACUGGGACUGAGACACGGCCCAGACUCCUACGGGAGGCAGCAGUGGGGAAUUUUGGACAAUGGGCGCAAGCCUGAUCCAGCAAUGCCGCGUGCAGGAAGAAGGCCUUCGGGUUGUAAACUGCUUUUGUACGGAACGAAACGGCUCUCACUAAUACCGGGGGCUAAUGACGGUACCGUAAGAAUAAGCACCGGCUAACUACGUGCCAGCCGCCGCCGUAAUAC